AGGAAAAGAAACCAACAGGGAUUGCCCUAGUAACGGCGAGUGAAGCGGCAACAGCUCAAAUUUGAAAUCUGGCGCAAGCCCGAGUUGUAAUUUGUAGAGGAUGCUUCUAGGUAGCGACCGGUCUAAGUUCCUUGGAACAGGACGUCAUAGAGGGUGAGAAUCCCGUAUGUGACUGGCCCGCACCUUCUACGUAGCUCCUUCGACGAGUCGAGUUGUUUGGGAAUGCAGCUCUAAAUGGGAGGUAAAUUUCUUCUAAAGCUAAAUACCGGCCAGAGACCGAUAGCGCACAAGUAGAGUGAUCGAAAGAUGAAAAGCACUUUGGAAAGAGAGUUAAAAAGCACGUGAAAUUGUUGAAAGGGAAGCGCUCACAACCAGACUUCUAGGCAGUGUUCCGCCGGUCUUUUGACCGGUCUACUCUCUGUCUCGAGGCCAACAUCAUCUGGGACCGCCGGAUAAGACCUUAGGAAUGUAGCUCCCCUCGGGGAGUGUUAUAGCCUCUGGUGAUGCGGCGCGUCUCGGGUGAGGUCCGCGCUUCGGCAAGGAUGUUGGCGUAAUGGUUGUCAGCGGCCCGUCUUGAAACACGGACCAAGGAGUCUAACAUCUAUGCGAGUGUUCGGGUGUCAAACCCCUACGCGUAAUGAAAGUGAACGGAGGUGGGAAGCGUAAGCUGCACCAUCGACCGAUCCUGAUGUCCUCGGAUGGAUUUGAGUAAGAGCAUAGCUGUUGGGACCCGAAAGAUGGUGAACUAUGCCUGAAUAGGGUGAAGCCAGAGGAAACUCUGGUGGAGGCUCGCAGCGGUUCUGACGUGCAAAUCGAUCGUCAAAUUUGGGUAUAGGGGCGAA
rnacentral:rRNA from 1 species